AAGCAAUUGAAAAGGAAGGACUAAAAUGCACUAUUUUAAAAGAAAUGAGGGCUUGAAGAAAAUAAUACAUUAAAUGGACCUUGAUUUUGCAUUUUUAUGUGGAAUCAGUCAAUAACCUGUGAGUCUAAAGGUUCAAAUUGAAGAAUAAUAAAUGCAGCCAACUAAAGAAAAGUAAUUGGGCCUCGGUAGGAACUUGAAUUGGAUUCCAAAAGAAAAAGGGUUGCUUUGGGGGCUGACAUAUAUAUACACAGAGACAGAGAGAGACGCAACGGAGGGGGAGAAAACAACACACGCCAACUAGGAUAGAGCAAAUUAAGAAAAAAAGGCUGCUGGAAUUGAAUAGAUACGCAUACAAUUGAGUGGCUUUGGCAGAUUUUUAUAUAUAUACAACACCCACAAUUGGGCGGCAGAAGGAGGACUGAAUUUGUAAGAUAUAUACACAAAAACACAGUUUUGUGGGCUGUUGAAAGAAAAAGGUCGAGGAGUCAACAUUGGCAGCCUACUUGAGUGAAGGAAAUAUAUUAUAUGUACACACGCUUGGCAGCUACUGGACGGAGAUAUAUAAUUACAGUAGGGCGGCUGGAAAUUAAGAAAUCAAGAGGAAUUCAGAUACAUUGAAAACGGAUUCAAGAAGGGAAAAUUAGGAGACAAGAAUUGGGGGCUGCCAUAGUAUAUAUGUUAUAUUCCACGCACAGAAGUCAAGGAAAAUCGUGGAG
rnacentral:lncRNA from 1 species